UGCCCCAUGGCUGAGUUGGUUACAGCGUCCGACUGUUAUUACUACAAUGGAUGGACUAAUUGACAUCGGAAGGUCGAGAGUUCGAGCCUCUCUGGGGCAG